rnacentral:lncRNA from 1 species
GGCUCUUCUUCGAGUCUUCUCAGAGGUUGGAGAUUCCCUGUCUUCUCCAACCUCUGCCAAGUCUUCAGAGAGGUUGGAGUGCGCCUGUCGGAGGUACUAGACCCCAGAUGAGGAUCUCAGGAAGAUCCACAAAGCUGCGUCCAGGGGAACGAACGUGUGGAAGCUGCAGCGGAGCCUCCUGCUCAAGAGUAAAGGACCGGUCUGAAACCUACAAGAACAGAAGAGCCAUGUGACGGGAUCCGUGGUUUGGCAGAGGAGACAUGCGAGAAGACGGAACGUUUUGUCCGAAUAGACAUCUGGCAGGGUGGAACGGAGAGAACAGGUAUGGUGGAGAGAACGUCUGAGAAGGUCGCAGGAUUCGCAGGAGCAUCGGGAAAAGAUUGCCUGCUUGCCCGAAGGAAUGGCAAGUUCCAAAGGUCAGAGGCUCGCGUGAACUCUGUCGGGUUCGAGAGCAGCUCAGUGUUGCUGGUGGCAAGAGUGUGGUACGGGAAUGGUUGGGUGUGGUUUGAAUGUCUAGAAAAGGCGAGCUGAGGGUAGAUUUUUGAGCGGUCCAGAGCAGAAGGGGUAGAGGAUAUAUUCUGUGGGCCACGGCCACAUUCUCAGGAUGCUCGUGGCUGUAAAUAGUAGAUGACCCAAGUAAGAGCGGCUGAAGCCAUAGGCACCAGAAUUGUGUCAGCAUCGUCGUGUCAUGCUCAUGUUUUCCCUUCCAGCUGUGCUGUGGGCAGUGUUUAGUUCAUGUCUGCUUUGCUGGCGGGCCGAGUAGCAACAGCUGCAGUUGGUGUGUUCUCUGAAGGCAGUAUCCGAAGGCUGGAGGGGUUGCUUUUCUUCCCAGGUGUCUUUUGAAGAGGCAGUCAAGUCAGCAGCUCGCGGUGAACUUCUGGUAACAUCGUAUGGGCUGGGUUACAGCACAUGCCGACUGCUAAGCCGGUCACUGGGGAAAACCAUGUGAUUGCUGUGAUGAGCUUAGAAUGAUCAUUCCUCCUUCGGGAGCUGGGGUGGGUUGAGGGAGUGAUAAAGAUCACGAUAACCUUGCAUUUCUCCAGCGAGAAAGAAGAAAGAAAUUCCGUGGAUAGGGAGCCAGCCAGGUUUCCUGCAGAAAAUCAUGGGAAGCUUUUGAGCAGGGGAGUCAGAAGAUGAGCGGUGAGUAUUAGGGCUUUCCGGUCACGGUGUGACACAGGGAUUGGCCAGCUCUUCCUGUAAAGGGCCAGGUGGGAAGCACUCGUAGGCCCCGUGGUCUCUGUCGUGUCUGCUGAAGCCUGCCGUAGUAGCGUGGAAGCAGUCAGAGAUGACGUGUAAGCAAAUGGUCCCGACUGACCUCCGGUAAAGCAUUGAUUCCGGAAGCAUUUAACAGACCUAACAACCUUUCAAACCGCAUGGCGUUUCUUUCCCGGAUCCCGUUUCAGGAACGUUUCUGUUGGCUACAAGGACCGUCUCCAACAUGCUUAGGCUCUGUGAACUUUCCCAGGAUCCUGAGUAGGGUAUCCGCCAUUCGUCCUUAGGGCUCCGGGAUGUCUCGUUCUUACUGUGUCCCUGCCAACCCUGGUCCCAUCUCGUCAUGAUCACCCACUGCAGAAGAGAGGAGGUGCUAGAGUGAACAGGGUCAGGGGAGCCCCGUUCAUCCCCAGGGUCCCAGAAUGAACCAGUGUUACCAUGUACCCCUGCCCUUGCCUUCCUCCCUGCUCUAAUGGCCGUGUGUUAGCCGGAGAUCAGUUUGGGUCUGGGUGCUAUGGGUCUGUUGCGCCUGUGGCCUUGGUCCGGCCUCUGUCCUUGUCUCUGUGAAAUGAGAGUGACUGUGCCUGAGAGCGUUCCAGCAAGACAAUGAUGAUCUCCACUGUCUGAUUCCCGCUUCCCAGGUUCUCACAGUAGACGAGGAGCCUGUUUUUCAGCUAGCUGCCACAAGGGGGCUGGAAAUUUCUCCCUUCAGAGUGGACCUGGAAGGCUUGGAAGCAUCUGGAGAAGGGCAUGGCCACGAGUAGAGAAAUCCAGGCUACAGGCAGAAGUGGGAGGAAGCGAGAGAGGAAGACUCAUGGAAAGCCUUGCUGCACUCGCCAAAAGAGCUGCCCUCGGACUCAAGAGGGCCACGUUCAAUGUCAACCUGACAUAAGGUAGUCACCUCUGGAGCACUUGUGGCCUGGGGCAAAAACACAGCUGGAUUGAAGGAAGAGUCUUCCCUGUUCCCAGAGGGGCACUGACUGGAAAUGAGCAUGAAGGUGGGGUCCCUAAAGGGCCACAGAACGAGGCCCUAUGCAGGUGUCGGUACAGACUGCCCCAAAAGCCCCCUGAGAAGUUGGUCCUGGGGUGUAAGAGGAAGGCACAGUGAAGAGCAGGAGUGAAAGCUGCUUCAGCACUUUGGAGCAGGAAGGAAAGGAAGUGAGAUACAGUUGGAAGAGGGCGAAGCGGGCAACCUGAGGGAUGGAGUGCAGGGUUUGACCUUCGAUUCUGGAUCUCCUCCAUUAGCAGGCUUCCGGGGUGGCGUUGUUGCCUCUCUGCCGAUCCUUCCUUCGGGUGGGGCUGUCGACUGGCACCACGGCCUGUCAGACCGUGGGCGGGGGGCGUUGCAGGCACAGUGCGGUUCCUAGUCUUAGGCAUGCUCACUUGAGGCGUUCUUCCCCUACCUGUCGACUGAUCUCAGAGGAAGGAGACUGAGCUGCUCAGCCCUGCCGGUGUGGCUGGCAGGGUGUCCCGCAUUAGCCCAUGUGCCCGAGGUGGAGUACAGGACUGGACCUUGGACUCAGGGUCUCCCGCGUCGGCAGCAUCGCUGCCUGUCCUCUGAUGCUUCCCUCGGCGGGGAAGAGGGGGCUGUUCACUAGCACAGUGGCCUGUCACCAUCUCAUGGGGGUGCGGAGGCGCCGUGUGCUUACUGGAGUUGUUCUCAUGCUCUCUUGAGGCGUUCCUCCCACAAGCAGAUGAAUGUGCCCAGGGGAAAACAUCCCAGAUCAGUGAACCUUCCACCAGUUUGCCUCUCAGGGUGCACGUGUGAGCCCAUUCACCCAACUCCCGAGGUGUGCUGGGGAGGCUUCUGAGGUUCGUGACUGCUGUGGGGGAGGGGGACUGCCUUUCCCUGGUGCUGCCUGUGAUCAGUGAUUUCUCUAGAGAGUCUGCUUCGUGACCACCGGGCCAUCACCUUGCGGCUGCCUGAUGUUUACUGGUGGUGGGGAACCCUCUCGGGCCCCGCUCCACACGUGUGACUGAGAGGGACACCUGACAGGAUUGAACGCGUGGCAGAUCAUCCGACGAGAUGGAGUGUCUGGUGGAAGGAACAUCUGACAGCCCUGAGCGUGUGGCAGAGGGAACAUCUAAGCAGACUGCAGCGAUUUCAGAAGGAACGGCUAAGAACAUCGCAUGGUCAGCAGGAGGAAACCUUAGGGUAGGGUGAUUGCAGGGGUGCUGGGGGGCAAGGGAACCCGUGAGAAGACUGCGGGAUCAGCAGUUGGAUGCCCUAGGGAGAUUGCAAGGCCUGCCCAAGAGACAUCUGGGUAGAGGAAGUAUUGGGCCCAUGGUGCGCCAGACAAAACUGAAUGCUUGUCAGGGGAAGAAGUGGACGCAACUGGCUGUUUGGCAGAGGGAACCCUCAGGUAGAUUGCACGUUUGGCAGAAGGCCCAAGUGUGAAGAUGACAUGGUAGACAGCAGAAACCCUUUAGCAGGUCGCACGGUGGGCAGAAGGAACCUCUGAGCAGAUUCCAUGGUGGGCAGACGGAAUGCCUAGGAAGAGUGCGUGGCUUGCAAAGGAAGCAUCUGGAAAGAGGGAACAUCUGGGAGAGAAAACAUCCACCAAGAUGGAGCGUUUGGCGAAGAGCCAUGUGACGGGAUCCGUGGUUUGGCAGAGGAGACAUGCGAGAAGACGGAACGUUUUGUCCGAAUAGACAUCUGGCAGGGUGGAACGGAGAGAACAGAUUCUCACAGUAGACGAGGAGCCUGUUUUUCAGCUAGCUGCUGCAAGGAGCUGGACAUUUCUCCCUUCAAAUAGGACCUGGAAGGCCUGGAAGCAUCUGGAGAAGGGCAUGGCUGUGAGUAGAGAAACAGAGGAUACAGGCUAAAGCAGGAGGAAGCGAGAGGACUCACGGAAAGCCUUGCUGCACUCUCCAAAAGAGCUGCCCUUUUCACGUGAAGAGCUAUGUGAUCGGAUCCCCGGUUUGGCAGAGUAGACAUGCGAGAAGACUGAACGUUUCAUCGUUGAAACCUCUUAAAGGUGGAAUGUGUGGCAGAAAGAACGUCUGAGAAGCUCACGCGAUUUGCAGAAGGAACAUUUGUAGAAGAUUCCCUGUUUUCCGAAGGAAUGUCAAGUUCCAAAGAAGAACGUCCGAGAAGAUUCAGUGUUUGGCAGAAGAAACCUCUGUCAGACGUGAACGUGUGACAGAAGGGCCAUCCAGGAAGAUUGCACACUGGGCAGAAAGAAGACUUAAGAACAUUGCAUGGACAGCAGAAGGAGUGCUUCGGGAGAUUGCCUGGUGGGCGCCAGGAACACCUGAGAUGAUGUCAUGGCAAACAGUGGAAAUGAGAGAAAGAUGAUGGAGCUGCUAAACCUUGCCCAUUUUGAUCUGUUAUGUGAGACUUGCCUUUCGCCUUCUGUCAUGAUUGUGAAGUGUCCCCAGCCAUGUGGAACUGACACAUAUUGCUUGUCUCUGAACUUCUCAGCUGCCUGCAGAUCUUCCUGUUUUUCAGCUGCAGUUAGGGUUUGUCUGAGGAGAAGCAUAACAUCCCUCCAGGCCAAAUGCUCCACAAAUAAAUGUGUUGAAUGAAUGAACAAAUGAAUAAGCGAAGUGAAUGGAACAUCAAACUGCAUAAAAAUAUAUUUAUUCAUAAAUGAGAGGUGAUGAUUGCCAACAUAUCAUAAUCAGACUCUGACCUUGGUUACUUAUGAGUUUGACAACGAAGAGGAAAGAGGAUCAGGUAAGUCCCUAAACACCGAAGAUGUACUGAGACCUUUCCACAUGCCCAAAGAAGAUACUCUUGCAGAGGAGAAAUGAUGAAGAGGCCCAGUCACAGAUGCAGGAGGAAGUUUAAUUGACUGAAUUUGUCUAGGAUGGGAGGGAUUAAAUGAGGUUUGAAAUGAAAUAGAAAUUGCUAAACUCCUGACUAGACAAUUACUGCCAUCCAUCUCUUACAUGUGCCCCUAAAUAAGCACUAACAGUGCCUUGGGCAGAGACCCCAGUGACUACCUAAUAGUAGCCUUCAAGAGCAUCACUUCCCACUCUCCUGCCCUGCCUCACUUUCCUCCUAGGUCUUAUGGGAUGGAUGAUAGAUGUCAUUCCCUGGUUCCCUAACGCUCAAGUCUAGCCCCUCAUUUCCUGGCAAGCAUCAAGCUUGAUUGUGUCUGUAACCUCUCAGAAGUCAGACCUCAGAAGUGUGCUUUUCUGGGAAAUCGGGGUCAGGGAGGAAAGAAGGAGGGAAUAAAGACAUUGUAAUAGAUUUAUAUAUAUCAUUGUAACUCAUCCACACAACAAUCCUGUAAGGUGUGGCCACUGUACUCAGAAAACUGAGGCUCAAAGAGAUUGAGUAACUUACCAAAACUUCACAUGUACUAAAAGUGGAGCCUAGAUUUCAAACACCUGUAAGACUCUGAAAUCUAUAUUAGCUCUUCUAUACAUGAGCCUAAAAUGCAACUGUAAACCAAUAAGACUGACUUCCUCUUGAGGCUUAUCACUAGCUCUGAAUAGAAGCAUUCCCAAAUGCUGUCUAAGCAAUUGUUGCGUCAUGGGAAUAAGUUGAUAAAUUCUCAGGGUUACAUACUCCUUUAGAUGCACUGGAACUUUUCUCAGUAUGUAGAAUCAAGUGUAAGGAAAAAGGAUUUGAAGGGGAAGGGGAGAAAUAAAACAGGACUGAGCCUUACACGUGUUGACCAGAACAGAUAAUGUUUGGAUUUUCUUUACUUUUUUCCCAGAGAAAUCGAAUAAAGAAGUUUGUUUCUGUUACCUAAAAUCAACUCCCUCCCACCUUAAGUGGUUUUGUAUAGAGCCCAUAGUUGAACUCUGUUUUCUACAGCAGAGAUUCAUUUUAAUGUUUUUAUAUUAUAUCAAGGCAAGUUUGAUUUCUUUCUGGGUAACUAUAGGCAGAAUGUCAGCAAUACUCCACGUAUUAGCUAUUAGAGAUAAAACACUGUGAAACUCUAAAGGCCUUGAUUAUUGGGCCAAUGAGAUAUUUAUGCUGUGAUCUGAUGGAGCAAAGCUUUGACAGGGUUAUUGAGCCACCUUCAAAGUGUAUCAGUGAAGUUCUUGGCUUGCUAUUUUAGAUAAACAGCUUUCAUUUUUACUAGUUGCUUGUACUUAAUAAGGUUACUGGAUUGAUUCAAGUUGUUUGCAAUGCGUUGAAGGUGAAGAGUAUUGUAUCUAGUGUCCUCAUAACACACUAUUACUUUUCUGAGGAAGGGUCUUGUCAUUUUACCCUAGAUAUCAACAGAAAAUAUUCCAUUUCUUAUAUAUUAAUUUUGCUCUGCAAUAAGGAAAUAUAACUACCAAAAAUGCCAUCGAAGGUUUUAGGUUGAUGCUUAUUUGUGUUUCCUAAUCUGUAGAUAGCAGGGUCUUUUUUUAAAUUUUUAUUUUUUGUUUUGGUACAGGGUCGGCUUUGUUGCCCACUUGGAGUGUAGUGGCACAACCUUGGCUCACUGCAACCUUCUCCUGAAGUACAUAUUAGCUCACCUGGGCUCAAGUGAUCCUCCCACCUCAGUCUUUUGAGUAUCUGGGAUUAUUGGCAUGUGCCACCAAGCCUUGCUAAUUUUUGUAUUUUUUGUAGACACAGGAUUUUGCCACGUUGGCCAGAUUUGUCUUGAACUCCUAAGCUCCAGUGAUCCACCCACCUUGGCCUCCCAAAGUGCUAGGAUUACACGUGUCACCAUCGUGGCCAACCAGCAAGCUCUCUUUUAAUGAUUCAGAGUCUCAGGCCAUAGCAGUAUAAGUAUCAAAACAUCUAUUCCCAACUUGGAGUUGAGAUUUCUAAUACGAAUUCUAUUUUCUCCAUAAUCAUAAAAUAGCAUCAGGAAAAGUCUCUUGACAUCUUAAAAUACAUAUCACUGGAAAGUAGAUCUUUUUGUCCUUCAGAUAAACAUACUGUAAAAUUUGAAAUGAAAAUUAUUCUUUGUACCACCAUUCUGAUUUUACCCAGGGUUAACACAAAAGUUAUAGCAGUACAUGAAGCUCUGAGGCUUCAAUGGGUGUAGAUAUAGACAUCCAAACCUAUAAUUUUACAUUAAUCAGAAUACUAUUCAUAUAAAUCACAAAUGGCAAAACCAUUUCUGAAGGUAUUUGGUUUUAUAGAUUAUAAAAUUAAACUUCCUUAUAAUUGUGUCCAAACUGAAAUAUGCUUCCUGUACAAAAAAGCUUUCUUCUAACAGUAAAGGCCUCCUCCCAACCCACCCGACACAUACACACACACACACACACACACACACACACACACACACACACGAAGAGAGAGAGAGAAUUUAGAGCACUGAUCUUUUCUCUCUUAGACUAAUUAUUUUAACAUUAUUUUCAGCCACUUUAUUAAUUGUGGGGUUAAGGGUAGGAUAGAUCUAAUGCCCAUUUCACAUGUGUUGCAACAUCAGAGAUUAUGGUUUUCAUUAAAAACAUCAGAGCUAAAUUCCUUUUCAAAAAAGACAUUGUUACUGUUAGUACCUUGGGGAAUGUUGUAGUCUUAUGAAUGCUGAUACGUUUAUUUGAGCCAAUUGAAUAUUAUCUCUAAUAUAAACUAUAAUUUACUGUGUGAUUCCUCUUCCUGUUUUACCUAUAUAUACUCAAAGUGAAUGAUUGUGUUUAGUGAACAUUUCUUUAGGUAAUAAAAAUUAAUUUCAUUUAAGAAAGAAGUACAAAAUAGUUAUUAGAGCAAACUUUGGUAUUUGUAAUUUUGAAGUUACAUACUUUUGAAAUAAACUUGGGCUUUCAUGCCAUGUUGGGUUUGAGGAAGAUAGCAAAUGUAUAAAUUGAGCUCUCUAGUCAUAACCUUGCUAUAUGUAUUCCUGCUCAUUAAAAUACUUUGCGCCAGCAAAAAUGAUUUCCAACAUAUGUGUUUUGGAUGUAAUUAAGUAACUGUAUAAAACUAAGUAUGUUUUUUCUCCUUUCCCCAGUGACUGGAAAACUUUCAUACUUUUAAGGUAAUAAUAAAAUAAUAAUCUUUAAAGAGCAACAGCCCUUAACUCUUUGCUGGUGCUUGCCAUACUGCCCUUCUUUACUCCAUUCUUAGCUCUUCUAGCUGCUUCUUGUAAUAAUGAAAUGGGAAUGUGGAUGGGUUAUGACUUUUGUGUAUGUCCCAUUUCCAAAUUUCCCUCUCCAAAAAGCCAACCAAAUAAACAAAAAUAACAGUGCAACAAAACACAAACAGCAUUCCAAACGUUUGGCAAGUGAUGCUUUCAUCUGGGAUUAAGUAGUUUUAGGCAGUCAGUAACAAAAUGCUGUUCUGCUGUCAUAGUAGAAAGGCAGCACAUUCUUAAAAGGAACCAAGAAGACUACACUCUUGGCAAAGUCUCUUAUUAGCUUUCUCCUAUCUCUUCUCCCCAACCACACUGUAAACUGCAAAACAUACAGCAAAAAGAAUUGGCUUAAAGGCAAUUGAUGUUUGUAAAUAAAUCCACAAUAGGAUCCAAGCUAAAGAGGUGAUACAUGGUCAGCCUAGUAGGACAAUUCAGAGCAUGUGCAUAUGCAAGUAAAGGCCAGACUAUAUAUUUUUUAAACGUCAGUGCAUUUUGUUGUGUUAAAAUUUUUUCAAAGCUUUAUUUUGUUCCUUGUGUGCUAACUACAAAUAAGUUUUAAAAGAGUAUCAAAAGUCUGCCAAAAACAAAAAAGCUGUAGUGACAUCGAACCAUACGAUGUAAGCAUUGAACAUGUGCAAUUUUUCAUAUCUACAGAAGAAAAUCAUCCCUCUUUACAACAUGGUUGGGCUGAUUUUUAAGAAAUAAAAGAUAAUACAUCAGAAAAGCAAAUAUUUGGCAUCUACAUAUUCAAUAUCUAGAACCAUGCAGAGUAGAAGAUUUAAAGAAAUAUGAAGAACAAAACAGUUAUUUUGUUUUAGGAGUUUACAAUCUGUAGUCAGAAACUAAUAUAAAAAUUUUGAGUAUAGAAAGAGCAAAAGCACGUCAGGUGCAGUGGCUCUCAGCUGAAAUCCUAGCAUUUUGGAAGGCCAAAGUGAGAGGAUUGCUUGAGCUCAGGAGUUCAAGACCAGCCUGGGCAACAUAGUGAGACCUUGUCUCUAUGAAAAAACUUUUAAAAAUUAUUUUAAAAAGAAAGCAAAAGCAAAUAUGAGAGAAAACAUUAGAAAUCAGAGCUUGGGCAAAGAGUUCAGUGUCAGCAAAGCAGCUCUGCCUUGGGGUAUCUCUGGAACAUCCUGGCUUUCUCUAUAGGCCCCACCACAUGGCCUUUUCCCAUCACUUGGAAGCCACCAUAUCAUGUCAGGUUUUCCCUCAAACUUUUUAACCUAAUUUAUUCUGUCAAAAAAUAUAUAUCUAUUGAAUCUUUACUGUGAGCUGGGCACUGUCCUAUGUAAUGAUAAUAUAGCAAGGAUAUAAAACAAAAAUGCUUACCGUCAUACAGAUUACAUUCAUGUGAGGCAGGACACACUAUUAACAAAAUAACUAUAUAAAAUACAUAAUAUUCCAAAAGGUGAUAACGGUACAGAGAAAAAUUAAGCAUGGAAGGGGGAUACACAACACUGGAAGUGGGUAGAAGUAAAGACAUAUCAAAUGCUCAAGGAAGGUGUAGUAGGCAGAAUAAUAGCUUUCCUACGUCUGUAUCUUUAUAUGGCGAAGAGACUUGUGGGUGUGAUUAAGUUAUGGAUCAUGAGAUGAGAAGAUUAUUCCGGAUUAGCCAGGUGAACUCAGUGUAAUCACGAGAGUGAUUAUAAGCAAAAGAAGGAGGCAAGAAAGUCAGAGGCAAGAGAUGUGGUGACAGAGGUCAGAAUAAUGUAGUUGCUGACUGGAAGGAAGCCAUGAGCCAUGGGAUGUGUGCAUUCUCUCAACGCUGGUGAAGGCAAGAAAAUGAAUUCUCCCCUAGAGGAUUAUAGGGGAGAAGCGUGUUCCUUUUAGCAACUAAAUGUAUGCUAAUUUAUUCCAGUAGUCAGGAAACUAAUAUAGAAAGUCUUUCUGAGAAGACAACAUUUGAACAAAGACUCCAAGGAGGUAAGUGCACCAGCUUUGCAGAUACCUGGGGAAGAGCACUCCAGGAAGAAAAGGCAGACAGCAGGGUACACGCCCUGAUCAGGAGCAUGUCUAGCCCAGUGGCAUGAAGUAGAGCAAGACUGGGAGUCAGAAGGGUAGGAGGAGACAGGUGAGAGAGAGAUUUAGUUGAGUCAACUCACUUACAGCUUCAUUAUCUUUAAGAACGUUGGCUUAGUCUGAAUGACACAUGGAGUAUAGAAGAGUCUGUGAAUAUUUAUAGAUAUUCUGAAUGUUUGCAAGAUAAAUAAAAGUGGUGCACUGGUAAACCUGGUUGGGGGAAGGAAAAAAAAGCCCAGAUUUGUAGCAUUUGCUGAUUUCCAUUGUGUGAAUAUUUCAACCGAUGGUUUGACAAACAUGUCACAAAAUUUCUGAGUAUUUAAUUUUCACCUCCAUUAGAGCACUGCACAUAUGACAUUCCAUUUGUCAAUUCCAUCCUGUAUUCCAUUUGGGCCAAGAAGUAUCGGAGUCAACUAGUGACAAAAAUAAGAAAGUCCUCAAUAAAAACCAGUGUCUACAUUUGACUGAUGUAAGGAUCUGAAAUUCAUUUUUCUUUAUCUGCUUUGCCUGGUGAUUAAAUUAUGAUUUUAGAAGAAACAUUUUUAAUUCCUUAUCAGAGUGUUACUACUGAAUAAAUACAAGACAUAGUUUAACUAUAUGUAAUCUUGUCUAUAUAUAUUUUCAACAGAAACAUUAUAGAUGCCAGAUUCACAAAAGAAGAUAUAUGAUAGAAGCUGGAAUUGUUUGAAUAAAAAGAGUCAAAUUUUACAUUGGAUUAACCAGAGGGAAGAAAGUAGAUGGAUAGGAAAGGAGAAGGCAGGCUUAGCCAAGCCAAAGAAAGAGACUAGACUCAGGAGGCACUGGGAGAAAAAGGAACUCUGUCAAAGAAGAGUACCAUUAUAGUUUGAAGAGAGCUGAGAGGCUGUUAAGUCCCCCAUGUCGUUCCUAAUCCAAAAACACCCGAUCCUAAACACUAUAAUCCUGAAUGUUGAAAUCCUGAAACAUCAAAAUCCCUAAGUCUAAAAUCCUUAUCUAACAUCCAGAAGAUCACUAUCACAGGACAGUUGCACCAUGGUAUUGCAUCAUGUUAAAUGUAAUUAUUUCCUUGUUUACUCUUUAUUCGGAAAUUAAGCAUGGCUAAGAAGGUAUGUAGAGGUGCCAAGUCAACAAGGGGUGGACCCAUGGACUUAAUUUUAGGUGUCAACUUGGCUGGGUUAAGGAAUGUCUGGAAACUUGGUAAAGCAUUAUUUUGGGUAUGCCUCGAGGGUGUUCUCAGAAAAGAUUAAUGUGUAGGUCUGAGUGGACUAGGUGGGAAAGAUCUGUCAAUGUCUGGAAUAUAGAAAAAGUGAAAAUGAAGGUAAAAAAUGCACAGAAUCUUUCCUGCCGAAUUAUUAUUGAUGUACAACUUCUGACACUUGCCUUCACAAAAUGCCCUUUGUCAGAGAAUAAAAAGAGUUCAACAAGCUUGGCGGCCUUCUGAACCAGGUACUUGCUGGCACAGAGGUUCCUUCAGGGCUACAAGACACAUUAAGUCAUGAACUAUUCUUGAUUAAAGAUUUGACUGUGAAAGAAGAUAGACAUAUUUAUUUACCACUAAAUCUAACAUUAAAAAAAAUGCAUGUUUUACUUUGGCUAAUGAAUGUCACUUUCAAAACCAUCCCUAGUGUUUCUUUGUUUGUUUUUACCAACUUUAUACAAUUUAUGCGUCUAUCAGAUUCCAAAAUUCUAUAAUGUAAUAUACUGUUUAUGUAUUACUGGCUGGAAAAAGUGAGGCAUUUUAUAAAUGUUUAUUUGAAGAUUUGGUGGACUUUGCAGAAGAAAAUAGAUUUCAAUUGCAUCCCCAAGUUAAAAUGACAGGUUUGGAACUAGGUGUGACAAAGGCUUCUGAAAGUGAAUUGCAAGGUGUUACCAGUAAAGUUUGCUUUUCCAUUUAGUCCAAUUCAUUUGGUGGAAAAUUCAGGUGAGUUUAGUGGCCAAGCCCAUAUGGCAGUGAUGAAAAUUUUAGUUUAAAAAUGCAUCGUUUAUCCAUAGUGGCAUUUCUUCUACCCGAUAAAAUUCCAGGAGCUUUUAACAAAUUAAACCACAUUUUCCUAAAGAAGCCAGCAAGGUUACUUACUGGUUUAAAAAUAAUUAUGUGCAAGGUAAGAUAAGAAGUCAUUUAGGGCCAGGCAUGGUGGCUUAUGCCUGUAAUCACAGGAUUUUGGGAGGCAAAGGUGGGUGAAUCACUUGAAGUCAGGAGUUCAAGACCAGCCUGGCCAACAUGGCGAUACCUUGUCUCUACUAAAAAUACAAAAAUUAUCCGAGUGUGGUGGCACACACCUGUAAUCUCAGCUACUCGGAAGGCUGAGGCAGGAGGAUCCCUUGAACCCAAGAGGGGGAGGUUGCAGUGAGCCGAGGUCAUGCCACUGCACUCCAGCCUGGGCAACAGAGUGAGACUCUGUCUUAUUAAAAAAAAAGAAAAGUCAUUUAGGCAAUGGUGUUGCUGUCCAAUCAACAGUAUUGUUUCUGCCAAAUUUGUGGCCUGUAGAUUAGUGCAUGCAAAGUAGAUACUCAAAACAAUAUAGAAGCAUGGCGUAGAAGAUUGAAAAACAUAAUAGGAAGUGUUCAUCUCAGUGUAUAUUGAAUUACAGAAGAAUUUCAGAGUGAGCAGUGCGACAUAGAAAAUGAAUGUGAACAUAUUCUCUGAGAUGUGAACAUAUUCUCUGAGGAAAGUCAUGUCCUUAAAGGCAGCUAUUUAUUGUGAUGCAAGACUUCAAAAUACAGUUAAUAAUCAUAAAAGUCAACUAGCUAUUAUGAACUCUGCGUAGUUGCCCAUAAUCUAUCCCUGUAAUGUAUUUUUAUAUGUCAGUUUUCUUUUUAGUUUUAUUUUUAAGUUUUUUUCCACUAUUUUAAAUUGUCAGCAUUAUUUAUUUACAACUCACUAUGCUGUGUAUUUCUUCUUAGCAUCAUUUCCAGUACUGAAGGUAUAAACUGUGUAAAGAGUUUUAGAGAGUUCUAAUUUGCUUUAUGCAUUUUUUUUGCAACUUUGACUCCACAAAAGUGCAUUAUCACAUUGACUUUAUGUGUAAGCGUUGUUUGUAAACCUAAAAAUAUUAAAACUUUCUCAAUAGAUGAGAUAUUCUUUUUGCAUAUCUGCAUUUGUGAAAGAGAAAAUUUCUGAGAAUCUCUUUGACUUUGACUGCAUAUUCGGUGAUGAUCUGUGACAGCUUUUGAUCAAUCUGGUCUAAAGACCUAGGUAGUCUGUCACAGUAUUUCAGAUGACCUGUUAUAACACUGGAUGCACACAACUACUAACCAUGCAUUUAUGCAUUUUGCUUAUUGACCUAUUUUUUAUAUGAUUCAUCUGCUCAUAAAUGUUAUACCCAUGUGACUCUGAUUAAUAUACCUGUUUAUGCUUGCAAACAUAUGUAUGAUGUUGUUGCCUAUUUUAUUUUGUAAGGUGACCUAGGAAGUAUUCUGUUGUGUUUUUUAUGUUUCUCAAAUAAAUCCCCUCCUAAAAAUGUCAAUAAAUGCCUUUUAAAUCAUUUUUUCCAGAUUUAUAGUUUUAGAAUUUUGGGGUUUGGGGGAUUGUAAUUUUAGGAUUUUAGACUGUAGAGAUGUAUAUCUUUUUGGAGUUCAACAUUUGGGAUAAUGGCAUUCAGGAUUGUGUCUUUCUGGAUUAUGGCCCAGACCUGUUUAUUUCAACACUCUAUUUUACACAAGAGGAAAGCAAACCAUGUAUCCAGUUGCAAUGAAAGCUUACAUAGACAUCAUGUAUAGAUUAUAUCCUAGGAAAACAUGAUUAAGAUGACACAUAGUGACUUUUCUUUUUCAGUGAAAGAGAUCCACAUCCUUUUUCUUGUGUGGAACUAAACAUGAUUUCUGAGUUAAUGUAGUUUAAUGCAAAUCACCAUGAUCACUUAACCCAUGCUUCUUUAUUAAAGGAGGUAGAAGGGAUGUGAUUUGAUGGGAGGAUGGCCCGGGAUCCAGGACCUGGGAAAGAUGCAAUGAGUAAAGGGGAGCAACAGAAAAGUAGGGAAUAAAGUAAGCGUGAAGAGUCAUCAACUUCCCUCACUGCUCCUGGCCUCUGGCAUUGGAAGCCCAGAGGUCUUUUCUAGGGCCUCAGAGAAGCUUCCAGGUCUGUUCAUUUCUUUUUCCCCACCCCUGCUUGUAUCACAAAUAAAUUACUGACACCUAAAUUUCUGACUAGGUGGUAGAAUUUUAGGGAUCCUUCACCUCAUCAGAAUUCCAUGUAAGUUGUGGGAGUCAUAUGGGUUAAGUAAGCAAUAGUCCUUGAGAUUAUUUGAUCAUAUAAAUCAUCAGAAAAUGUUUAGUCAUCUUGAUUUUAUCAUAAUGUGUAGCUAGGGGAGGCUGGAGGGAGAGGACUGGAGUGAGAAGAGACAGCAAAAGAGGUGGCUUUUAUGCAUGGGGCUCUAUGAAGUAAUCAGGCCUAAGUGGAACCGAGAGGGACCUUGGAGCAGUUCUGGAGAGGAAAGCUUGGGGCACAAGUCGUCUGUUGAUGGUGAGGCUUAGGCCCUGGCUCCAACCAAUCACAUCAUCUUUCUGACUGGGAUGCCUAAGCAGUGUGUUUUUUGUUUGUUUUAGUGUUUGUUUUUUGGUAAAGCAUACAGUGGCAUUAACUAAAUUCACAGUGUUGUGCACUCAUCACCACCAUCCAUUUCCAGAACUUUUCCAUCAUGCCAAACAGAAACUCUGUGCCCAUGAAACAGCUGUUAUUUGCAUUAGAAUCUGUUCUAAAUAUUUUGUGUAAGUUCUCACUUAGGCAUCACAAUGAUGUCCUGUGAGAUAGCUACUAUAUUUAUCUCCACUUUAUCGAUGAGAAAAUUGAGGCACAGGAAGCCUAUGUAACUUUGCUUGUAAGUGAAAGGCCUUAAAGUAGAAUUCAAGCCCAAGUUGAACUGAACCCAAAGGCCAAGCUUUUUUCUAUUCAAACAGGCCACUCUUUUAUUAUUGUAGUGAGUAAUAAGAGCUAAAAAAUAUUAUGUUUUUUUCAGGAGAAAAUUAUUUGUUUUGAAGGUAGAGGAAGAGCAUGCUAUUUAAUGUUUACUAUUACAUGAAUUACUCUAUGUUUUGAGAUGGUGUACUGAAACUUUCUAAAAAUUUAUCUCAAUCUCAUAGAAUGGAUCUACAUUUGUCCUGUGUCAAUGGCUAUCCAGAAGCGGUAACUUUGCUGGUGCACAGAAAGUGCCAGCUUAACGUGUGUGACGGUGAAAACACGACACCUCUGAUGAAGAUAUAUAGUAGCCAGUUAUUUCAGCAUGAGAUGGAUUUGGUUUAAAUACAUAGAAUAAAAAUGGAUUUAUUUCAUUGAAAUGUAACUAAUUUGUGAACCUAUGGAAUAUUUAUUUGUAUUUUCUAGAAUUUACAAUGUGUUUCUUGGUCUAAUACUGACAGGCUAUACAAUGCCAAGAAGAUGUUUAUGCAACUAUUCUGCUGGACUUUGGUGCCUAUCCAGAUAUUACAGAUAUCAACAGAAAAACUGCUCUCCACUGUGCUGUCUAUAGUGAGAAUAUGUCAGUGGUGGCAAAACUGCUUUCACACAACACAAACAUCUAAGUGAAAAAUGGAGUAGAGAAUAACCAACAUUAUUUUCAAAAUAUUUGAAAUCCAUUUGCUUUAACACUGACAUGCGUUAGGGUCAGUUUUUCAUAUUUGGAAGCUCAAGCAUGCUCUUCUGUGAAUGAAAAUAUUCUGAAGUAACUGUCUAAUAAUUUAAAUAUUAAUGUUUUUAAAGAAGUAUUAGACGGUAUAGCUUUCUUUCAUGCAUUUAUGAUAAAUAUUUAAAUUUAUUAAAGGUAAAAGUUUGUUUUUCAAAUAUUUUAGCCACUCAAGUUUUUGUUCUUUCUAAUUAGUGUAAAACAACACAGAAAAGCAAAAUGUGCCUGCAUAAACUGAGUCAACAUGUAAACCUUUUGAUAUUUAUUAUUAAAUAAGUUAUUUGGCAAUGUAUCAAAUUUUUAAAUGUGUGUCCCUUUUGACCUAGAAAUUCUACUCCCAGGAAUUUCUCCUAAGAAGAUAAUCAGAAAAGUUUACAAAGAUGAAUAGAAAAGAAGAGUCACUGCAGCCUUAUUUGUAAAAGUGAAAAAUAGCAACAGCCCAAAUGUCAUGAAUGGAGAAUUAAUAUAUGGUGCAUCCAUACAAAAAUACUGUGCAGCGAGUAAGCCAAUGAAGCCCAAAAUUUCUGACAUGGACAUUGACAUAGCAGAGUGACAAUAACGAGGUUAUAAAACAUCAUCAGUGAAAGGUCUAUUUGUACAAAUUAAUUUUUUGAGUGUAUACUUAGGGUAUAUAAAAUGUAUUUGGUUAAUGUCAAAAUAAUUAUCUUUGCUUAAGUAAAAUUUGGGGGCAAUUUAAAUUUUUUAAUAUAUUUUCUUAUAUUGACCA